AUCCCAGAUAAUCUUGAUCAAAUUUUUAUCUGAUUCAUGGGAGGCCAAUACCAAUGAUGGGAGUUUUGCUGAUAGCACUUUUUUAUACAUGGAGGUGUCUCAUUAGUUGCUCACUACACAUUG
rfam:Musa acuminata subsp. malaccensis Doubled-haploid Pahang (DH-Pahang) genomic chromosome, chr6